GCGAGCGAACGGGGAGCAGCCCAGAGCCUGAAUCAGUGUGUGUGUUAGUGGAAGCGUCUGGAAAGGCGCGCGAUACAGGGUGACAGCCCCGUACACAAAAAUGCACAUGCUGUGAGCUCGAUGAGUAGGGCGGGACACGUGGUAUCCUGUCUGAAUAUGGGGGGACCAUCCUCCAAGGCUAAAUACUCCUGACUGACCGAUAGUGAACCAGUACCGUGAGGGAAAGGCGAAAAGAACCCCGGCGAGGGGAGUGAAAAAGAACCUGAAACCGUGUACGUACAAGCAGUGGGAGCACAGAGCAAUCUGUGUGACUGCGUACCUUUUGUAUAAUGGGUCAGCGACUUAUAUUCUGUAGCAAGGUUAACCGAAUAGGGGAGCCGAAGGGAAACCGAGUCUUAACUGGGCGUUAAGUUGCAGGGUAUAGACCCGAAACCCGGUGAUCUAGCCAUGGGCAGGUUGAAGGUUGGGUAACACUAACUGGAGGACCGAACCGACUAAUGUUGAAAAAUUAGCGGAUGACUUGUGGCUGGGGGUGAAAGGCCAAUCAAACCGGGAGAUAGCUGGUUCUCCCCGAAAGCUAUUUAGGUAGCGCCUCGUGAAUUCAUCUCCGGGGGUAGAGCACUGUUUCGGCAAGGGGGUCAUCCCGACUUACCAACCCGAUGCAAACUGCGAAUACCGGAGAAUGUUAUCACGGGAGACACACGGCGGGUGCUAACGUCCGUCGUGAAGAGGGAAACAACCCAGACCGCCAGCUAAGGUCCCAAAGUCAUGGUUAAGUGGGAAACGAUGUGGGAAGGCCCAGACAGCCAGGAUGUUGGCUUAGAAGCAGCCAUCAUUUAAAGAAAGCGUAAUAGCUCACUGGUCGAGUCGGCCUGCGCGGAAGAUGUAACGGGGCUAAACCAUGCACCGAAGCUGCGGCAGCGACGCUUAUGCGUUGUUGGGUAGGGGAGCGUUCUGUAAGCCUGUGAAGGUGUACUGUGAGGUAUGCUGGAGGUAUCAGAAGUGCGAAUGCUGACAUAAGUAACGAUAAAGCGGGUGAAAAGCCCGCUCGCCGGAAGACCAAGGGUUCCUGUCCAACGUUAAUCGGGGCAGGGUGAGUCGACCCCUAAGGCGAGGCCGAAAGGCGUAGUCGAUGGGAAACAGGUUAAUAUUCCUGUACUUGGUGUUACUGCGAAGGGGGGACGGAGAAGGCUAUGUUGGCCGGGCGACGGUUGUCCCGGUUUAAGCGUGUAGGCUGGUUUUCCAGGCAAAUCCGGAAAAUCAAGGCUGAGGCGUGAUGACGAGGCACUACGGUGCUGAAGCAACAAAUGCCCUGCUUCCAGGAAAAGCCUCUAAGCAUCAGGUAACAUCAAAUCGUACCCCAAACCGACACAGGUGGUCAGGUAGAGAAUACCAAGGCGCUUGAGAGAACUCGGGUGAAGGAACUAGGCAAAAUGGUGCCGUAACUUCGGGAGAAGGCACGCUGAUAUGUAGGUGAAGUCCCUCGCGGAUGGAGCUGAAAUCAGUCGAAGAUACCAGCUGGCUGCAACUGUUUAUUAAAAACACAGCACUGUGCAAACACGAAAGUGGACGUAUACGGUGUGACGCCUGCCCGGUGCCGGAAGGUUAAUUGAUGGGGUCAGCGCAAGCGAAGCUCUUGAUCGAAGCCCCGGUAAACGGCGGCCGUAACUAUAACGGUCCUAAGGUAGCGAAAUUCCUUGUCGGGUAAGUUCCGACCUGCACGAAUGGCGUAAUGAUGGCCAGGCUGUCUCCACCCGAGACUCAGUGAAAUUGAACUCGCUGUGAAGAUGCAGUGUACCCGCGGCAAGACGGAAAGACCCCGUGAACCUUUACUAUAGCUUGACACUGAACAUUGAGCCUUGAUG
rnacentral:rRNA from 1 species